rnacentral:rRNA from 1 species
UACAGAGACUGCAAGCGUUAUUCGGAUUCACUGGGCGUAAAGGGUGCGCAGGCGGCCGUGUGUGUCAGGGGUGAAAGCCCGGGGCUUAACCCCGGAAUUGCGCCUGAAACUACAUGGCUAGAGCAUUGGAGAGGGUAGCGGAAUUCACGGUGUAGCAGUGAAAUGCGCAGAUAUCGUGAAGAACACCAGAGGCGAAGGCGGCUACCUGGACAAUUGCUGACGCUCAGGCACGAAAGCGUGGGGAGCAAAAGGG